AAACCAUGGCCUGGACACUUCCUCAUCAACUCUUUGAACCGUUCUCAUGCCUCAUGAAAGUUUUUUGAUUCGGCUUGUUGGAAGGUUGAAAUUUCAUGCUUGAGCUU